rnacentral:misc_RNA from 1 species
GAUGAAGAACGUAGUGAAAUGCGAUAAGUAGUGUGAAUUGCAGAAUUCAGUGAAUCAUCGAAUCUUUGAACGCACAUUGCGCCCCUUGGUAUUCCAUGGGGCAUGCUUGUUCGAGCGUCAUUUGUACUCUCAAGCUCUGCUUGGUGUUGGGUGUUUGUCCUUUCCCUGCGUUAGGACUCGCCUCAAAUUCAUUGGCAGCCGAUAUAUUGGUUUGAAGCGCAGCACAAUUUGCGAUUCGGGCUGGUUAUUGUUGGCGUCCAGUAAGCACAUUUAACACUUUUGACCUCGGAUCAAGUAGGGAUACCCGCUGAACUUAAGCAUAUCAAUAAGCGGAGGA